rnacentral:rRNA from 1 species
UAGAGUUUUGAUCCUGGCUCAGGAUGAACGCUGGCGGCGUGCCUAAUACAUGCAAGUCGAGCGAACGGAUAAGGAGCUUGCUCCUUUGAAGUUAGCGGCGGACGGGUGAGUAACACGUGGGUAACCUACCUAUAAGACUGGAAUAACUUCGGGAAACCGGAGCUAAUGCCGGAUAACAUUUGGAACCGCAUGGUUCUAAAGUAAAAGAUGGUUUUGCUAUCACUUAUAGAUGGACCCGCGCCGUAUUAGCUAGUUGGUAAGGUAACGGCUUACCAAGGCAACGAUACGUAGCCGACCUGAGAGGGUGAUCGGCCACACUGGAACUGAGACACGGUCCAGACUCCUACGGGAGGCAGCAGUAGGGAAUCUUCCGCAAUGGACGAAAGUCUGACGGAGCAACGCCGCGUGAGUGAUGAAGGUUUUCGGAUCGUAAAACUCUGUUAUUAGGGAAGAACAAAUGCGUAAGUAACUGUGCGCAUCUUGACGGUACCUAAUCAGAAAGCCACGGCUAA